rnacentral:rRNA from 1 species
ACGGGUGAGGAAUACAUCGGAACGUAUCCGCUAGAGGGGGAUAGCCCGGCGAAAGCCGGAUUAAUACCGCAUACGCUCUGCGGAGGAAAGUGGGGGACCUUCGGGCCUCACGCUAGCGGAGCGGCCGAUGGCAGAUUAGCUAGUUGGUAAGGUAAAGGCUUACCAAGGCAAUGAUCUGUAGCUGGUCUGAGAGGACGGCCAGCCACACUGGGACUGAGACACGGCCCAGACUCCUACGGGAGGCAGCAGUGGGGAAUUUUGGACAAUGGGGGAAACCCUGAUCCAGCAAUGCCGCGUGUGUGAAGAAGGCCUUCGGGUUGUAAAGCACUUUUGUCCGGAAAGAAAGCGCCCGUGCUAAUAACAUGGGUGGAUGACGGUACCGGAAGAAUAAGCACCGGCUAACUACGUGCCAGCAGCCGCGGUAAUACGUAGGGUGCGAGCGUUAAUCGGAAUGACUGGGCGUAAAGGGUGCGCAGGCGGUUUGUCAAGACGGAUGUGAAAGCCCCGGGCUCAACCUGGGAAUAGCAUACGUGACUGGCAAACUAGAAUAUGGCAGAGGGAGGUGGAAUUCCACGUGUAGCAGUGAAAUG